GCUAACCCUCAUUUCCUCUUCUAUAAAACCUCGCUUUCCCUUCUCUCCUUCAUUUCACCUCCUCUCUCUCGCUCUUUGUAUCUCUUCGUCCUCUCUCUCGCUCUUUGUAUCUCUUCGUCCUCUCUCUGCAUCUCUGACUGAAAUUCAAAGCUCUCGCUUUUUUUAACGAUACCGAGCAAUAAUGCGUGAGAUCCUUCACGUUCAAGGGGGGCAAUGCGGCAACCAAAUCGGAGCCAAGUUCUGGGAAGUUGUAUGCACCGAGCACGGCAUAGAUUCUACUGGUCGCUACCAAGGGGAUUCAGAUCUUCAGCUUGAAAGAAUCAAUGUCUACUACAAUGAGGCCAGUUGCGGCCGCUUUGUCCCUCGUGCGGUACUCAUGGAUUUGGAACCCGGUACCAUGGACAGCAUCAGAUCUGGAACUUAUGGUCAGAUUUUUAGGCCUGAUAACUUCGUCUUCGGCCAGUCUGGUGCUGGUAAUAACUGGGCCAAAGGACACUACACUGAAGGUGCAGAGCUUAUUGAUUCUGUUCUUGAUGUCGUUCGAAAGGAGGCUGAGAAUUGUGACUGCCUGCAAGGGUUCCAGGUGUGCCAUUCUCUUGGAGGUGGUACCGGAUCUGGAAUGGGGACGCUCUUGAUUUCCAAAAUUAGGGAAGAGUACCCAGAUAGGAUGAUGAUGACUUUCUCUGUGUUCCCAUCUCCCAAGGUUUCUGAUACAGUUGUGGAGCCUUACAAUGCCACUUUGUCUGUCCAUCAGCUUGUGGAAAAUGCAGAUGAGUGCAUGGUUCUUGACAAUGAGGCCUUGUAUGACAUUUGCUUCCGGACACUGAAGCUCACCACUCCCAGUUUUGGUGACUUGAAUCACUUGAUAUCUGCAACCAUGUCUGGAGUUACAUGCUGCUUGAGGUUCCCUGGCCAGUUGAACUCUGAUCUCAGAAAGCUUGCAGUGAACCUCAUUCCAUUCCCACGUCUUCACUUCUUCAUGGUGGGUUUUGCCCCUCUUACUUCGCGUGGGUCACAGCAGUACCGAGCUCUAACUGUUCCUGAGCUCACUCAGCAAAUGUGGGAUGCAAAGAACAUGAUGUGCGCAGCUGACCCAAGACAUGGUCGUUAUUUGACAGCCUCAGCUAUGUUCCGUGGCAAGAUGAGUACAAAGGAAGUUGAUGAGCAGAUGCUGAAUGUGCAGAACAAGAACUCCUCCUACUUUGUGG
rnacentral:misc_RNA from 1 species